rnacentral:rRNA from 1 species
AAUCAACGCUGGCGGCGUGCCUAACACAUGCAAGUCGAACGAGAAGGUGACUUCGGUCACUGGAUAGUGGCGUCCGGGUGAGUAACACGUAGGUAAUCUACCUUCGGGUGGGGAAUAACGUCUCGAAAGAGACGCUAAUACCGCAUAAUGCAGCGGCACCUAAUGGUGAUUAGUUGUUAAAGCGGGGGAUCUUCGGACCUCGCGCCUGAAGAGGAGCCUGCGGCAGAUUAGCUAGUUGGUGAGGUAAUGGCUCACCAAGGCUUCGAUCUGUAGCUGGUCUGAGAGGACGGCCAGCCACACUGGCACUGACACACGGGCCAGACUCCUACGGGAGGCAGCAGUGGGGAAUUUUGGGCAAUGGGCGAAAGCCUGACCCAGCAACGCCGCGUGAAGGAGGAAAUCCUUC